UACGUAGGCAGCAAGCGUUGUUCGGAAUUACUGGGCGUAAAGAGUGUGUAGGCGGUGUUCCAAGUCUGGUGUGAAAUCUCCCGGCUUAACUGGGAGGGUGCAUUAGAAACUGGAAUGCUAGAGGAUGGGAGAGGUAAGCGGAAUUCCUGGUGUAGCGGUGAAAUGCGUAGAUAUCAGGAGGAACACCUGUGGUGUAGACAGCUUACUGGACCAUUUCUGACGCUGAGACACGAAAGCGUGGGUAGCAAACGGG
rnacentral:rRNA from 1 species